rnacentral:rRNA from 1 species
UGAGGAAUUUUGCGCAAUGGGGGGAACCCUGACGCAGCAACGCCGCGUGGGUGAUGAAGGCCUUCGGGUCGUAAAGCCCUGUCGGGCGGGAAGAACGUCCCUUCGGGGAAUGACGGUACCGCCAGAGGAAGCACCGGCUCACUCCGUGCCAGCAGCCGCGGUAAUACGGAGGGUGCAAGCGUUAUUCGGAAUUACUGGGCGUAAAGGGCGUGCAGGCGGGAGAGCAAGUCUGAUGGGAAAGCCCGGGGCUUAACCCCGGAAGGGCAGUGGAAAC